rnacentral:rRNA from 1 species
AGUGAACGCUGGCGGUAGGCCUAACACAUGCAAGUCGAACGGCAGCACAGUAAGAGCUUGCUCUUACGGGUGGCGAGUGGCGGACGGGUGAGGAAUACAUCGGAAUCUACUUUUUCGUGGGGGAUAACGUAGGGAAACUUACGCUAAUACCGCAUACGACCUACGGGUGAAAGCAUGGGAUCUUCUGACCUUGCGCGAUUGAAUGAGCCGAUGUCGGAUUAGCUAGUUGGCGGGGUAAAGGCCCACCAAGGCGACGAUCCGUAGCUGGUCUGAGAGGAUGAUCAGCCACACUGGAACUGAGACACGCUCAAGACUCCUACGGGAGGCAGCAGUGGGGAAUAUUGGACAAUAGGCGCAAGCCUGAUCCAGCCAUACCGCGUGGGUGACGAAGGCCCUCGGGUUGUAAAGCCCUUUUGUUGGGAAAGAAAAGCAGCAGGUUAAUACCACGCUGUUCUGACGGUACCCAAAGAAUAAGCACCGGCUAACUUCGUG